AACAAGGCAGGGUGGUUGUCGUAGGAUGCUUCGAACGUACCCCACUUCAUCUCAAUCGCCUUCUACUUAGCACGGUAAGUUUUGUUGUAGCUGAUCUUGUACUUGAACUUCUCCUCUAUGGCACAGAUAAUGGACUUGGGCUCGAAGCUUGGAUUCUCCACUAUCUGAGGGUACAUGUAUUGAGCAACAAAUUUAGCAGUGAGGUUGCAGUGUGUUCCUUCCAAUUAAGCCAGCAAGCAUUGGUGCUUAACCACUAUAGUCACCUUCCAGUAAUCCUUCCAUUUGCCCUUGUAUGCAUGCAUCCUAAAUGGUCAAUCAUUUCGCACACACCGGACAUCAUACACCUUCGAACUACUCUUUUUCACCCUAAACUGACGCUGCAAACACAAAGUGGACCAUCUCUUAAUAGCCACCUUCACUUCAUCCCCACUUUGGUACACAGCCCCCACGCAUACCUCAUUCUCCCUGUACUCCCAAGAAAUAUUUUCCCCUACAUUGACCUGUAGGGCGGAAUGGUCGUAAUUUGACCAAUUUCGCGGUACAGAAUAAUUGUCUUCCUCAUUGGACGAGUCCUCAUCCACGACACCAUUGGCCUCCCCUCCUUCCAUCUCCAUCUACUCUACUAACUCAGGAAUUUCCUCCCCCUCAUCAGCCUCUCCAUUUGGUUCCCAAGAUGCUACAUCAUGUUCUGCAUCUCCACCUUCUUGUUCUUCGUAAUCAAGUUCUUCGUUUUCACUCGCAUUACUCUGCACAUCUUCUUCCGCUUCAACUUCAUCACCUUCGACUUGUUCUUUAAUAUGAGUGCUAGGUCCACCCUUCAUGAAAAAAUGGAUAUACCAUAUAAUUGGUAAACCUCUUCUCGUGCAACCAUUUAUGUAAGCCCGAUAGUUCGGAGUUCUUUCAAGUGGAUAUAACUUCCAAAAGUUUAUGUCGGGCCGUGUUUUCACUACAACCCUCACAAACACAUCCGCUUGAUAUCUGUCAACACCUAAGUCCCUACAAAGCCACUUGCAUAUGCCCCCCCCCAAGUUCUCUCUCUUGCUCUUGGAACACACUUGGUGAAACAGGCAAAUCCACUCAAAUCAACCCCUUCUGGACCAUAUCUAACUUUCCCGACCCAUAGUACACUUGAAUAUUUACACUAUCUGACAUGCUUGGCAACAUACAUGAAACGGGCAGUCCAAAUUAAUCUUAGCACUAUACAUAAGUUAACUGCAAUAAUGACCUCAAUUGAAUAAACAAACAACUAUGUAACACUAAACCAAGCUUACUAACUAACUUUAUCAUAGGCAUGCACCACAACAAAUAAAUCUAAUAAUGUUACCGAAAAACUAU
rnacentral:lncRNA from 1 species